UCAGUUUAAUGGCAAUAAUAACUGAAGAAGGCCCUGUAAAAAAUAAAUACAUUGUAUCAAAAUACGCUACAAUACUUCAUGGGCCAAUACAUGUGAGGCUUAGCAAUAAGUACUACGAUCAUAUAUAAGCAAUACAAUCAUUAAUGAUUAACCAGGUCACAGAGCAGACGUGUGUAUAUUGGUCAUAUUCAAAGUUGGUAGG